UAACACCUCCCACCCACUCCAUGACAUGCUGGUCAGUCACAGGAGCGCGUUCAGUGAGAGACUGAGAUUACCGAAAAGCACCACUGAACGACACAGGAAAUCAUUCCUGCCUGUGGCCAUCUCACUGUACAACGCAUCCACUUAACCCACACAUGUUUCUUUUUCUUUCUUUUUCUUUUUUAGCUAUUUAUUAAUAAACGACUUAUGUAUAUAUAUGCCUGUAUAUAUUGUACUAUUCUUAGUUAGUGUAUUGUCUGUCUUGUUAAUGUCUGUUUAUUAUGGAGCACUGUAAUAAAAAAAUAAUUUCCCCCAGGGAUAAAUAAAGUAUUCUGAUUCUGAUUCUGAUUCUGAUUAAGUAGAGAGGCCCAGAGUUCGCUCUCUCCAGGCACUUGGUCCAUCCUCCGGGGGAAUCCCAAGGCAUUCCCAGGCCAGCUGAAAAACAUAGUCCCUCCAGCAUGUCCUGGGUGUUCUGGGUCUCUUCCUGGUGGGACAUGCCCAAAACACCUCACCAGGGAGGCAUCCUAACCAGAGGCCAGUAUCUAAUCUGUCCUUUUUGUAUGUUCCCCUCAGGUUGCCAUGGUAGCAGAUACAGGGAGAACAAGUAUAGACGAUGCCACAUGAAGGAUGAUGAAAUUCCUCAUAUCACCUGAGCUGGCUGUGGAGUACAACAUGCUUGGCCGACAUGGGAAAAAAAAGUUCAGAGAUUUGCGUCUUUUUAAUGUUGUGUAUGAGACACUGAAGAAGAAUUAUUUAACAUCAAAAGUCAACUUGCAAGAAGCAGAGGAGGCUCUGUCCAAGUGGUUCACUGGAGCUAAAGACAGAGGAGGACUGAGGGCUGCAAGGGUACAAAAUAGACUUACGGCUCUGUAAAAAAACAAAAAAAGAAACCCUGCUGAUUCAAGAUAAACUUUUGAGUUUUCCAUCUGACUUUUUCCCCAUGUUGCUACAGUUCCAAAUAUCUAAGGAAUUUUGCUGUAGUUUGACAUUUCUACUUUUUUAAAAGUUUACACACUUUGGUAUACAGUUACGUAAAAUCACAGUUGUUGGACAAAAUGUGAAAAGAUUUUGUUUAUUAUUCAAAUAUGCUUUGCUUGUGAUUGUGUAAACUCUGAAUGACGAUUCACCCUGAUAAAACAUGAAACCUUGCCUAUGCUUAUCAAAUGCCUGUGAAGACAAGUUCCUGUGCAAAGAACAACGGAAAAUGGCACUUAAGCAGACGUUUAGUAUAGUACGGACAGAAUGUUUAGUAAGAUAUGCAUUUGUCAGUUAAGCAAUCUAUAUUCUGAGAACAGGCGGAGACUGCCUCCGUCUGCUGUGUAACCUACAUGCCUAUAUAACCUGCAAUAAAGAAGAGUACUGUGUGACUCUCCCGAGAGUUCACCCAUUGUACAUAUGAUUUUUUA